GCAGGGAUCUCCCCCCGUACCUUUUGCAUCAUGAUUUAGCUAGCACUCUUCAAGCAAAACGUACUUUAGUUUGAAACCCCGAAACUACGGUGAGCUACUUCAAGCCAGCCUAUCCAUAGGGCCAACCCGUCUCUGUCGCAAAAGAGUGGGAAGAGCUUCAAGUAGAGGUGAAAAAUCUACCGGACCUAGUUAUAGCUGGUUGCCUGAGAAAUGAAUUUUAGUUCAGCCUUUAUGCUUCUCUCGAAGCCUAAAGAGUUAGUCAAAGGAGGUACAGCUCCUUUGAAACAAGACACAACUUUCCCAGGUGGAUAUAGAUCAUACACCCUUAAGGACCCAGCCGAUGUGGGCUUAAAAGCAGCCACCCAACAAUUAACGCGUUAUAGCUAAGGCAAAAAAUCCAGAUUCCCCGAUCUUACUCCCCUAACCCCAACCCACCAGGCCCGCCAUGCUGUCAUGGCAGUGACCAUGCUAAUAUGAGUAAUAAGAAAGGCCUCUCUCCCCGCACACAUAUACCUCGAAAUGAACCCCCACCGAAACUCAACGGACCCAAACGAAGAGGGGAUUUGGACAUACCUAGAAAACCCCCACCCGUUAACCCUACACUGGUGUGCCCCUAAGGAAAGACUAAAAGAAGAAGAAGGAACUCGGCAAACGAGCCCCGCCUGUUUACCAAAAACAUCGCCUCUUGCAAAUAUAAGAGGUCCCGUCUGCCCCCUGACUAUAUGUUCAACGGCCGCGGUAUCUUAACCGUGCGAAGGUAGCGUAAUCAUUUGUCUUUUAAUUGAGGACCCGUAUGAAUGACAUAACGAGGGCUCAACUGUCUCCUUCUUUCAGUCAAUGAAAUUGAUCUCCCCGUGCAGAAGCGGGGAUUUAUACAUAAGACGAGAAGACCCUAUGAAGCUUUAGACACUCGGACAUACCCUGUCAAGACCCCCCCUAUUAAAGGGCCAGAACCUGCCCACCAUGUCCAUGUCUUAGGUUGGGGCGACCCCGGGGAACAAAAAUCCCCCACGUGGAACAGUAGAAUAUCCACAACCAAGAGCCACGACUCUAAAAACCAGAACCUCUGACCACAAUAAUGACCCGGCAAUGCCGAUCAACGAACCAAGUUACUCUAGGGAUAACAGCGCAAUCCCCUUUUUAGAGACCGCAUCAACAAGGGGGUUUACGACCUCGAUGUUGGAUCAGGACAUCCUAAUGGUGCAG
rnacentral:rRNA from 1 species